rnacentral:rRNA from 1 species
GACGAACGCUGGCGGCGUGCUUAACACAUGCAAGUCGAACGGAAAGGCCCUGCUUUUGUGGGGUGCUCGAGUGGCGAACGGGUGAGUAACACGUGAGUAACCUGCCCUUGACUUUGGGAUAACUUCAGGAAACUGGGGCUAAUACCGGAUAGGAGCUCCUGCUGCAUGGAGGGGGUGGGAAAGUUUCGGCGGGUGGGGAUGGACUGGCGGCUUAUCAGCUUGUUGGUGGGGUAGUGGCUUACCAAGGCUUUGACGGGUAGCCGGCCGGAGAGGGUGACCGGCCACAAUGGGACUGAGGUACGGACCAGACUCCUACGGGAGGCAGCAGUGGGGAAUAUUGCACAAUGGGCCGAAGCCUGAUGAGGCGGCGCCGCGUGCGGGAUGACGGCCUUCGGGUUGUAAACCGCUUUCGCCUGUGACGAAGCGUGAGUGACGGUAAUGGGUAAAGAAGCACCGGCUAACUACGUG